AGAGAUGCACUGGGUGUAAAGCGCGCAGGCGGUUUUGUAAGACGGAGGUGAAAUCCCCGGGCUCAACCUGGGAACUGCCUUUGUGACUGCAAGGCUGGAGUGCGGCAGAGGGGGAUGGAAUUCCGCGUGUAGCAGUGAAAUGCGUAGAUAUGCGGAGGAACACCGAUGGCGAAGGCAAUCCCCUGGGCCUGCACUGACGCUCAUGCACGAAAGCGUGGGGAGCAAACA
rnacentral:rRNA from 1 species